UACGUAGGGGGCAAGCGUUGUCCGGAAUUAUUGGGCGUAAAGCGCGCGCAGGCGGCCUUGUAAGUCUGUCGUUUAAACUCGGAGCUCAACUUCGAGUCGCGAUGGAAACUGCAAAGCUUGAGUGCAGAAGAGGAAAGUGGAAUUCCACGUGUAGCGGUGAAAUGCGUAGAGAUGUGGAGGAACACCAGUGGCGAAGGCGACUUUUUGGGCUGUAACUGACGCUGAGGCGCGAAAGCGUGGGGAGCAAACAGG
rnacentral:rRNA from 1 species